GGUAUUGUUUACCACCAUGAUAAGCCCCGGAACUUAUCUUGAGAAAACAAUAA
rfam:Atopostipes suicloacalis DSM 15692 genome assembly, contig: EJ15DRAFT_scaffold00013.13